rnacentral:rRNA from 1 species
UGGGGAAUAUUGGACAAUGGGCGAAAGCCUGAUCCAGCCAUGCCGCGUGUGUGAAGAAGGUCUUCGGAUUGUAAAGCACUUUAAGUUGGGAGGAAGGGCAGUAAGCGAAUACCUUGCUGUUUUGACGUUACCGACAGAAUAAGCACCGGCUAACUCUGUGCCAGCAGCCGCGGUAAUACAGAUGGUGCAAGCGUUAAUCGGAAUUACUGGGCGUAAAGCGCGCGUAGGUGGUUCGUUAAGUUGAAUGUGAAAGCCCCGGGCUCAACCUGGGAACUGCAUCCAAAACUGGCGAGCUAGAGUAGGGCAAAGGGUGGUGGAAUUUCCUGUGUAGCGGUAAAAUGCGUAGAUAUAGGAAGGAACACCAGUGGCGAAGGCGACCACCUGGGCUCAUACUGACACUGAGGUGCGAAAGCGUGGGGAGCAAACAGG